UACCCACUGGGAGCCGCUGCAGGGCAGCUCCCCUCCAUGUGCUUCUCUAGGUGGACAGUUACUCAGGGAUUCAGGUGACUUUCAUCUUGUGCCUCCAUCAUCUCAACCUAUGGCAGUCACCAGAGAGGAAAUAGAGUGGUGAGGUGGCACGUUAGCUCUUAAAUGCUUCUUUCAUUGGCUAAGGCGAAUCACAAUGCCCCUCCUUACUGCAAGACAGCUGCCAAGUCUAGUCUUCCUAUAAGCCUAGGAAGAAGAUGAGAACCAAAUAUUAAGAGACCAAGUAUUUUUUACUGUAAGGUGCAAAGAAUCUAUAAAGAGCAAGGACUGUGCUCGUCCCUAGAGCCGGGUAUCCAACACAGGAGCCUGUUACAGAGAAGCAGAACUGACCUACUUUCCUUGAGAUGUGCAGAUCACUGGCCUUGAGGAGUAAAGGACCAAACUUUCCCAGAAGAUAAAGCCUGACUACAUUCAAAAACAGCUGCUGCUGCUGCUGCCAGUAAGUCUGCUCAGGGUCACACUGACAUACAAGUAACCACCUGGGCACCUGCUUCUCCUGCACAUAGCCCCUUUUCCCACUUCCCAUGCCUUCCCCUUUAAAACCCUCUGCCGUCCUCUGGAUGGGGAAGAUGAGCUUUGAGACCUUCGUCCACCACCUUCCCAAGUUGCUGGCUUCCUGGAUAAAGCAAUCUUUCCUUUCCCACCAUCACUUGUCUCUUGAGUAAUGAUUUUUGAGUGGCUGAACUUGAAUUUGUAACUGGCUCUCUGUCUGGUAACAAGAGUUCAUCACUUCAAGGGAAGUGACAUGGUCCUUGACUUUCAGAGACUAAUGGAAUGAACACCUAUUAAUUAGCUCCUAUUUUGAAUUGUCACCUUCUUAGUCCCACAAACCAAUCAGUGCUUAACACAUGUCAAGUUCAACAAAUCACAACAUACUGUGGCGUGAAUGAGUGAGACGUGUUCAUGUACAAUUCAGUCUCUAUUUCACUGGUUCGAUAAACUUCAAAAAACACUUAGUGAUCACCUGUUGGAAGUUCAUCUCUGAUUGAAGAUAUGACAAGAGAUCAAUGGUUUAUUAAUAUCCCAACUCUCCCAUGGGCAACCAAAUCCUCUGCCCACUGAAAUCCUCUGAGGCUCAAGAGCAACAUUACAGAAAUCAGCACUAGCAUACAAGUGAGAGAACUGGUCAGAGUGAUGGUGGGGGCAAGAAAGAAUUGAGCUUAGGAAUUUCAGAGCCAGGAAAGAAUAGAUUUUAACCAAAGAAAAUAUUUCCCAAACUCCAGGAUGUGACAAGUAAGUUCGUAGCACCUUCUCUGUAAAUAGAAGCAGACCAUUUUGUCUGAUGACAAUCACAUGAGCUACAAAAUCCCUUUUCUGCUUCUUCAGCACUUACUUCCAGCAGCAGGUGCUCACAGCUUCAUAGGAUGACUUUCCAAGUAUAUACUGGGUCCACUACCAAAUAUUUUUCUUCCGUUUGGAAUUGUAUACGCACAGCUGUGCCCUAAUUUUCAUGCCCGCUGUCCAGCUGCUUUCUCCUGGAUUUUUACCUCCAGAACUGCAAAAGAGAAUAAACAUCUUGGCUUCCACAGGCAACAGACUUUUGAAUCUCUUUCUCAUCCUUUCUCCAGAUGAGAGGCUUUGGAGGGGAGGCAAGAGAUUACUCAAGUUCAUCUGAAAAUGUGAAAUCUGGAUCUUUGAAAACCAUUCAGAUACCACUUGCUGUGGGAAACAAGCAAAGGGUGCAUCUGGAGAAACAAGUCUCUAAAUCACUUUAAAUAUGGACUACUAAAAUCUUAAAAACUGAAGUCACUUCUAGAACUGAUUAGGACAAACAGGGCAUUACCUGGUUCGUCCAAACCUAAAACAAACAUUAAAAAAUUUUAGAGAAUUCAAAUUAGGGACUUUGUUCCAGGGUCUACAACAUCAGAUUUUUUUUCCCCCUGUGGUGACACAGUACAGACUUCUCUAGGGGCAGUUAAAGGAUUUGUUUCUUCCAGAAGAACUUGCUGAUUGGCCAAGAAAAUGCUUGCUCCUGGGUACAAGAAGGAAAAGUCCAAUACCAGUCACACUUUGAAGAAAGCACAUUCAUGGAUUUACAAAUGCCAUCACCCUUCCAAAUACAGUCUGAAAAGAAGGGUGAAUUUACAGAGAUGCCAAAUUCCUCAAAUGGUAUGGGGUCAACAGAGACCACUCCAAAUAAAACUGUAUGAU